UUGGUAUUGGUGUUUGGUUCGGCUUGUGUAGGAUAGGUGGGAGACUGUGAAGCAUUAACGCCAGUUAGUGUGGAGUCAACGUUGAAAUACCACUCUGGUCGUACUAGAUGUCUAACCUAGGUCCAUUAUCUGGAUCAGGGACAGUGCCUGAUGGGUAGUUUAACUGGGGCGGUUGCCUCCUAAAAUGUAACGGAGGCGCUCAAAGGUUCCCUCAGCCUGGUUGGCAAUCAGGUUUCGAGUGUAAGUGCACAAGGGAGCUUGACUGUGAGAGUGACAGCUCGAGCAGGGACGAAAGUCGGAACUAGUGAUCCGGCGCUGGCAUGUGGAAGCGGCGUCGCUCAACGGAUAAAAGGUACCCCGGGGAUAACAGGCUGAUCUUCCCCAAGAGUCCAUAUCGACGGGAUGGUUUGGCACCUCGAUGUCGGCUCGUCGCAUCCUGGGGCUGGAGUAGGUCCCAAGGGUUGGGCUGUUCGCCCAUUAAAGCGGCACGCGAGCUGGGUUUAGAACGUCGUGAGACAGUUCGGUCCCUAUCCGCCGCGCGCGCAGGAAACUUGAGAAAGGCUGUCCCUAGUACGAGAGGACCGGGAUGGACGAACCUCUGGUGUGCCAGUUGUUCCGCCAGGAGCACGGCUGGUUGGCUACGUUCGGAAGUGAUAACCGCUGAAUGCAUCUAAGCGGGAAGCACGUUUCAAGAUGAGGUUUCCCACCGGGUUAACCGGGUAAGGCCCCCAGUAGAUGACUGGGUUGAUAGGCCGGAGGUGUACAGCAGUAAUGCCCAGCCGACCGGUACUAAUAGGCCGAGGGCUUGUCCCUCAA
rnacentral:rRNA from 1 species